CAGGACGAACGCUGGCGGCGUGCCUAACACAUGCAAGUCGAGCGGGGACAUGCGACGGAUAGGAAGUUUCGGAUGGAAUUGAAGAUGUAUGUUCUAGCGGCGGACGGGUGAGUAACGCGUGAGCAACCUGUCCUUCACAGGGGGAUAACACAGCGAAAGUUGUACUAAUACCGCAUAAGACCACGGCAGGACAUCCUGCAGGGGGUCAAAGGAGCAAUCCGGUGAAGGGUGGGCUCGCGUCCGAUUAGAUAGUUGGUGAGGUAACGGCCCACCAAGUCAACGAUCGGUAGCCGACCUGAGAGGGUGAUCGGCCACAUUGGGACUGAGACACGGCCCAAACUCCUACGGGAGGCAGCAGUGGGGAAUAUUGGGCAAUGGGGGGAAAACCCCCUGACCCAGCAACGCCGCGUGAGGGAAGAAGGUUUUCGGAUCGUAAACCUCUGUCCUUGGUGAAGAGUAAGAGACGGUAGCCAAGGAGGAAGCCCCGGCUAACUACGUGCCAGCAGCGGC
rnacentral:rRNA from 1 species